UACGUAGGGGGCAAGCGUUAUCCGGAAUUACUGGGUGUAAAGGGUGCGUAGGCGGCCCGGCAAGUCAGUUGUGAAACCCGAUAGCUCAACUAUCGGCUUGCAAUUGAAACUGUCAGGCUAGAGUACAGGAGAGGAAAGCGGAAUUCCUAGUGUAGCGGUGAAAUGCGUAGAUAUUAGGAAGAACACCAGUGGCGAAGGCGGCUUUCUGGACUGAAACUGACGCUGAGGCACGAAAGCGUGGGGAGCAA
rnacentral:rRNA from 1 species